rnacentral:tRNA from 1 species
GCUACUGUGGCUCAGCCGGUAGAGCAGCUCNNNNGGUAGAGCAGCUCACUCGUAAUGAGCAGGUCGUCCGUUCGAAUCGGAUCAGUAGCUCCA